rnacentral:tRNA from 1 species
CUUAGAGUUUUGAUUUCUAGGGGGCAGGUUCGAUUCCUGUUUUUUUAGGUAGGAG